rnacentral:rRNA from 1 species
CAGUAGCCGCGGUAAUACGGAGGAUCCAAGCGUUAUCCGGAAUCAUUGGGUUUAAAGGGUCCGUAGGCGGUCUUGUAAGUCAGUGGUGAAAGCCCAUCGCUCAACGGUGGAACGGCCAUUAAUACUGCAGGACUUGAAUUAUUGGGAAGUAACUAGAAUAUGUAGUGUAGCGGUGAAAUGCUUAGAGAUUACAUGGAAUACCAAUUGCGAAGGCAGGUUACUACCAAUUGAUUGACGCUGAUGGACGAAAGCGUGGGUAGCGAACAGGAUUAGAUACCCCCGUAGUCCCUGUCUCUUAUAC